rnacentral:tRNA from 1 species
AGUAAGAUCAGCUAAACAAGCUUUUGGGCCCAUACCCCAAACAUGUGGGUUAAACCCCUUCUUUUACUA